CACAGGUCCAGAAGCACUUUCUGUAUCAGUUUCUUAACACAUCAUAAACGUUGGGAUAAAAUACAACCAACAGGACAUAGAAAAUUUAAUCAAAAAGUUAAAGAAACAUUUUUAAGAUGUUUUCUUUAUGUGUGAAAUAAAGAAAACAGUUACAAACUGAAACAGGAAGUGUUUCUGGACCAGUGUUGUUUACAUCUUGCAAAAUGGUCUAUAUGGUUGGUAUUCUGAUAUUUUACACUUUGAAUUGGCUGUUGAUAUUUAGAUGCAAACAAUGAAUGGUACUGUAUCUGUAUUUAACCUACAAUUUACUAAUUAACUAUUGACAGUAUAAAUGUUGACACAUUGCAUUAUGAAUUUGUAAUUUAGAUUCAAACGUUGUAUUAAGAAAGUUGUUAUUAUGUUUUAUGUUCUACAGAGCUGGAAGAACAGUCCUCAGAAACAGCCACCGCUGUAGCUAUCGUGAUGACUGCAGAUUAAGAUGGAGGCCAUUUGUGCUGUGUCUGCCGCAUCCUUUUCGAUGACAGGAAGAAGAAUGCUUCAGAGAAGUGGCGUUCAUGGUCACAGUGUGCCAAUCAUGGUCACACACUGCAUGUCAAGACACAAUGCAAACAGCCUGUAGCGAUGCAUCAGUGAUAGAAAACAUGCUAGUUACACAAAAUGUUUUAUGUUUUAACUUUGAGUUGUUUUUAUUUUGUUCAUGACCCCAUCCCUACAAACACACACACAUAUUUUUUUUUAUUUUUAUGUAUUAGGUGCAAUUUAAUAUUUUUCAUGCAAAUGUAUUGUAAUGAUUACACUUAUAAGAAUAAAACAGAUUUUAAAUUCA